rnacentral:lncRNA from 1 species
CCUCAGCGCCAAGGGAGUCCGGCGCUGGAGAAAGGUAAGUGCUGAAGACACACACACACUUACAGACGCAUACACACUAGCUAACAGACACACACAUUUACUGACAGAGACACAGUCAGCGACAGACAUACAUACACACUCACUUACAAAACAUACACUCUCAUUGACAAACACACACUCACUAACAGACAUCAAACAGACUCACUAACACACACACUCAGUAAGACACACACAGUAACACACACACUAACACUCACUCUAACACACACACACACACACUAACACUAACUAGCAGACACACACACUAACACUCACUAGCAGACACACACACAAUAACACUCACUAGCAGACACACACACACUAACACACACACACUCACACUAACACUCACUAGCAGACACUCACACUAACCCUCACACACACACUAACACUCACUCUCACACUAACACUAGUUUUUUUUUUUAAAUGUAAUCCCCCCAGCCUCCUUACCUUUUGGAGUGCUGGGGGGAUUCCCUGGGGUCCAGUGGUGCUGCUGACCCCGGCGGGCGGGUGGCCGGUCGGGAAGGCGGGCGCGCGAGGGAGCACUCAGUGCUUCCUCUUCAGCUCCCUCGCGCGCCGCUUAGGGAUGCCGGAGGCGGAGCCGGAAGAUGACGUCAUCUUCCGGCUCCGGUAUCAGUGCGGUGCGCGAGGGAGCUGAAGAGGAAGCACUGAGUGCUCCCUCGCGCGCCCGCCUUCCCGACCGGCCACCCAGUGACAGCAGGGCCAGCCUUGGGGGGCCCUGGGGUGGUCGGCUCCUGGGCCCCCCAGGGGAAGAGGCUGGCCCUGAGCGUACAUACCGGGUCGCAGGGGCGGCCGGGCCCCCUAGUGGGCCGGGCCCGGUCGCAGCCACGACCCCUGCGACCCUGGUAUGUACGCCACUGUCCAGGGACAUCAACACAGUGAGGUAUUUCUUUGGUUCCAUUAGUACAUCAGCACAAGGCUGUGCAGUUCUGCAAACAUGAGACAGUGCAAAUCAUUAUAUACAUUCAUCAGACCAGGCAACCUUCUUCCAUUGCUCCAUGGUCCAGUUUUGAUGCUCAAGUCCCCAUUGAAGGCACUUUCAGUCGUGGACAGGGGUCAUCAUGGAAACUCUGACUGGUCUUCAGCUAAACAGCCCCAUACGCAGCAAACUGUGAUGUACUGUGUGUUCUGACACCUUUGUAUCAUGGCCAGCACUAUGUUUUUCAGUAAUUUUAGAUACAGUGGGUCUUCUGUGUGAUCGGACCAGACUGGGCUAGCCUUCACUCCCCACAUGCAUCAAUGUGCUUUGGGCACCCAUAACCCUAACAUUGGUUCACUGGCUUCCUUGCACCACUUUUGGUAGGUACCAACCACUGCACACUGGGAACAACCCCCAAGACUUGUUGUUUUGGAGAUUUUCUGACCCAGUCGUCUAACCACUUCGUCACUUGCCCAUUUGUGCUGCUUCCAACACAGGAAAUUCAUGAACAGACUACCUAAUAUAACCCACCCCAAUAUAAUGUUAUGGCUGAUCGGUGUAUGAAUCCUGUGAAGUCUAAAGCUGGUGGUGAUUAGUGACUGUCCUUUUGACAAUGCCGAUGUUGUCUCUUUGCUGCCAUGUUUCUGAAUGUUUUGGUACCAGAUCUGAUUUACUAGCUUUCUUCUCUGGCAUCUUGCUCUAAACAGGCGUGUGAUGGGACUUACCACAUUCAAUGUGGGGUAGAACUGACAGGAACUAAAAUAAAAAAAUAAAAGUUUUCGUCAAUACCAUUCUCUACAGUUAAAGAAUAUUAACAUUCACUGAAUAAUCAAUAGUUAUGGUGUUUUAGUUAUCAACCAAACAAAAAGUUAACUUUUUAAAAUAACAACUAUACCUUACAAAUAUUGUGUAUAACACACAAAAUAAGUAUUUUUAGCCUUUCAUUAGGGGCAGCCUUGGUACUCCUGACACACCGCUUGCACAUACCUUUACUAUUUGAGGUUCUCACUCUGAACAAGGGUUGGGAUUUUGGAUCAAUUAAAUCCUGCAAAAACAAACAUAUAUAGUGACUGGGGUAUUGGGCACAGCGUUAUAAUAUUCUAUGCAUAGGAAAAUAUAAUGGUUUUCUAUUUUGGGGAAGAUUUAGUAGUAGGGAGUCUUUUUUACUGAGUUUUUGUGUUAUCCAUGAGAGAUUAUCAUGAGGUGUCAUCAAUUACCAUAUGAAGAUAUCCUUUUCAUAUUUCAUAUAUCAAGGGUCAGCAUAUGGACUCUCGGUUAACAAAACUGUUAUUAUAUACUGUAUAUCUUACUGUUUAUAUCUUACAGCUAAACGAUGAGGGGAAUGAGUUGGAGUAAACUCCUGGCUCCUAUCUGUAUUACCUGUUGUCUUGGGGGCCCUUCUUCAUGUUUUCAGUGACCCAGUCUGUGUUUAUUUAGUGGAAGAUAUGAGAGGACAAAUAGAUUAGCUUUGCUGGUGAUAAAAUAACCUUGAACCCCGAAAACCUUUAAAAUUCAUUUAUGGGUGAGGGUAGAAAUGCUUAAAAGUCUGACUUGUUUUGAUCUUAUUCUGUUGUAUAAGCUCUGCAUUGCUACAAUCACAUAAUUUAAUGAUUUAUUUUUUCAUUGUUUAUGUUGCUGGUUAUUUUAAAAUGGUUUUUGAGGGGAGCGGAGCCUGACCGCCAUGGCCCUGUGGCCGGAGCUACUUUUUAAGCUUUUUUCACAAGCAUUAUAACUCGCAUCCUACGAUUUACACUCGCCUGAAGUAAGGCAGUACCUUGUGGCUCUUCUGCCGGUCCUGUCAUGUGAGGCGGAUCCAGCGAGGGGCAAACCUGCGGCCUACCUACUGGAAAGUGGUGUGGGGGACGAGGCCGAUCCCUUCGCCUGCUGCCUAUGCUCCUGUGACUCAGAGGGUCUUCUCCUACUUUCCCCCUGCCCCGUCGGUGGGGGUUAUACCGGCACACACUCUUGGGGUUGUGAUGUUAUACUUGGCAAGCAACUUAAAAUGGCGGAUGCCAUGUGUGGGCUCGGACCCGUCACCCCCUCUAAGCUUGACCUGCUCUUUGCAGAGUUCUGGAGGAGAAUCGCUGAACGCCAGUACAGAAGCGAAUCACUAGCCCUGCAAACACACUUACCUCGGCAGCUUCCACUGUACUCCCGGCAAACGAAGGUAGAUCCAGGCCGCAGGCGGAUCCGACAAUGGCGGAGACACCCAGGCUGUCUUGAGACAGCAGGGGACAGACGCAACCUAACAUCAGGCCUGUACAAGCGAUCCUACCAAACUCCCCACUGAAAACCUGAGGUACCGAAGGGGUCUCCAGGACCAGCACACGGCCCUAACCCAUGCUUCAGCUUGCCACACCGCAGUGGGACUGUACUUCCCCAGUGUGGAAUCGGGUGAUCUGAGUUGGUGACUCUUACAAGCAAGUUCUUUUUUUUCAAAUGCUGCCUCUGCAGUGCACAGAGUUCACUUGUUAUAGAUAGCAUGUUAUACAGCUCUCUCCUGACAUGCCUAGUUUAAGUUCUACCUACACCGUGCUAUAUAUUUACCUAAUCUACUAUAUCUGAAAUGCCUAAUCUGUUUGCACACCUAUAUUACUAUUUCUAUUUGGACAUGUUCACUAACCUGCUUCUUAUAUCUUUACAACCAAACAAACAAAAAAGUGCAGCACCUCUUGACCUUCUAUGUUUAUAUAUUGUCAAUAUACAUCUUAUUUGUCAUUACAAAAGCUUGCACAUAUCACUGCAUGCCUAAAAUGAAGAUUUUUAAAAAAAAAAUGUUUUUAGACUCUUGAAGGGUGACCUGGCAAUAAAAUAUCAGAACCCCGAUCACUUUAUAUAUUUGUACGUUUCAUGAACAAAUCUUCAACAGAAAAAGUUUCAUCUCAGACGUCUGAAUUGUAAAAUUAACUUAACCGCAUUUGUGUUUUCACACUACUGAGGCAUAGAAUCUAUUCCCAUACAUCCUAUCCAGGGUAUAUGCAGUGUGGUUAUCAGCAGAUUAAGAAGAAGUUAAAUGCAGAACACAAAUAGACUGCUAACUAUACUUCCCAAAAGAAAUGCUUAAUUUGGCCUUUGGUGUCUAUCUGCAUUGAGUUGUUAUAUUGCUAUGGGUUCUGUAUCACAGUCAAGCAGACAUUCUUCACGAGCAGAGUACCAAAAUCAGAUAAUGGUUGGUGCUGUUGAAUGGAGUAUUCUUUUAUUUUAUUUUUUUUAAAUAGUAUUCAGGUAUAGCUGAAGGCAAGUGCUAAAUACACUCUUUGUUGGAUAGACAUAGAUCUCACCACUCUGUAGAUCAGAUUAAUGGAAAUAAAGUCGUCUAGGUGGGAAUAAACUGGGGGAAUAACUUUUUUUUUUUUUUUAAUUCUUUAUUUUUGUUGUGCAUUAUAUAAUAUAACAUAAAUUGGCUUGCAUUGCCCCAACAGUACAGGCAAGUACAGGAAGCGAAAAAAAAAUAUAUUUAGCGUAACAGUUGGUCAGUUGGUGUGGGGACUGCACACUUUAGAAGUAAAUAUGUAGAAAAAGGAACAUGUUAGGGAUAUCUGUCUAGGUAUGAAGAACAGGUAAUACAACUACACAAGAUUAGUCUAAGACAGAAGGAAAGGAAACCACUAGUUGCUUAUCAACUGUGCUCACUGAGCGUGAAGGCAAUACAAUAUGCAAGAUUAGCUAAAAUGCCAGGCUGGGCAGGGGUAGCUUGAAAGUAAUUUAUUCAACCAAUACCCAUAGCACACAAAGUCCGGACAGGUAUAAGAGGUAACAGAUACCUCCCUGAGUUCUGCAGUUAGCCUCAGCACUCCAUCUCCCAUGACUCUAUACCUCUUCCUUUACAAUGAGACAAACUCCAUAAGACUGCAGGGGGCUGUGAUUUUCGCUGGCACGAAUCACACAUGUCGUCUGCUGGGUUCUCCCGGGUCUCUGCCUUGGGGCAUGUUUCCUGGCAGCAGCUUUGUGUGCAGGCUGAGCAACAGGGAUCGGCAGUGCUCAUUGCUGACUCCUUCUCCUCAAACUCUGCCAGAAUCGCUGGCAUAUUGCGUUGAAUUUCUCUUGGAAGUAUUCCUCCCAACUCUGCACCGAGACUGGUGUAGAUGUCACGGAAGCGCCACUGUCUGCCAUCCUAGAUAGGCCACAAAGGAGCACGUUAAGAAGGGAUGACUCAGGAGCUGCAGACAGCUGAGUAAUUUAAUCAUAACGAAGGGUGAUCGUGUUUUUAUAGCCUGAGAUGUUUUUCACGUAGGCCCUUGUACAGAUUUAUCCUCCUGAUCAUUAUUUGGGAGAGAGACUGGCAAAUGUGACAAAAUAAAUAAUAAAACUUUAAAUUAACAAAAAUAACAUGGCACCUGUCGUGCCAAGGGUGCAUGAUUCAUUGUUGCACUAUAGAAUGUUGCUAUUUAAUGUAUUUGUGUGGUGCAUAGAUGAAUUGGGCACUUGGUAGAGGACAGAUGUCAGAAAGGUAUUAAGGUAAAUUAUAUAGGAAUGUGAUAGAUGACAGAUGGUUUACAACAUGAAAUGCUCUUUUGACCAACCAAGGUGCAAGGUGUGAAGUGGUGUCCCUUUGUUGUCUGUAAGUCUAGUUUCAAUGUAAACUAGCUAACUUCGAUCAUAUGGCCUGUAAUUUUUAAUAGAUAGUGGAUUUCCUUGAUAUGUUAACUAGCAUAUCAAAGGACCCUUGUGUCCCAGUGUCAUAUCAGUGUCAUAUCUAAAAGAAGCAUGAAUAAUAACCCAAAGAUUAAUAAUUAAGUUUAAUUUUGUGCCUAUUUAGAAUGGCACCAGCACAAUCUUCGAAACAAGCAUAAACAUGAUUAGUGCACCUUAAACCAUUUGGAAGGAAUUGUGAUGUCUGUUAUAUUAGGUCCUAGUAGGGUUUGUGACAGAAAAAUUGCAACAAAUUCAUAGGUGCAAUUAUUAUUUUGGUGGCAAGCACAUAACAGGCGAUACAACCAAAUGUUUCUAUUUGGAUUGAUGUUGAUCUGUAACACAAGGCGGUGGUCACUUAUAAUUUCUUUAGAUACAUCUUAUCUCCACCUCUAGGCCAGGCUUGGAAGCUUGCCAUGAAUCCAGAGGGUAUAUAUGCAAUGAUAUGUGAAUGUCUAUUGUAAUUGCUUGGGGCCAAAAUCUAAUUUUGAGUGAAUCACCAUCUUACCUUGCUGGAUACCUCCUGGGCAGAAGUUUUAGUUGUAAAACCUAAGUGAGUGAGUUAUUAGGAUUUCUGUUAAUUUAUCCUUUUUCUUUUUAUCUGUUGUUGGUGUAACUAAUUUGUUUGUCAUCUAUUUUUUGUAUGCACUGUGACUAUUUUAGUUCAUAUUAAAUAUUCCUUUAUUAAGUUCUGCCUUUGUCUGGUAAAGAAUAACGUUACCUGAAGAGACUAAUUCAUUAGAGUUUUGCAGUUUCAUAGAUAUUGUGCUAAAUUGUAUUGGGUGGCUUUUUAUUCUAAUUUACCUGGGGGGCCAAGGCACCCCAUUUAUAAAUUGGUGGUAGCAGCGUUAAAAUGGUAAUAUUUAUAUUAUUAUGGUCAAGUGUGGGUGGUGUUAAGGCGGAUUUUUUUAUCAUUAUUUCCAGUCUAUUGCAGACAGAUAGUGAACUUUAACCCUUUCACCACCAGCACUAUGUCACUCAUUGCUAAACACACCUCCCAACAGUCCCUGAUUCAGUGUGACCGUUAUAAUUUGGAGCUGGUGCUACUGUCCUCCUUUUCUAGGUUUGUUCUCCGGUGUCCCUCAAAGACCAAUCCUGGAGCUUGGAACCUCUGAAAUUGGGUACUAGGAAAUCAACUACUACUCUAAUUUUGGGAUGACACCCCAAAGGCCGGUCCUGGAAUUUGGAGCCUCUGAGGUUGGACAUUAGGAAUCCCACUCAUAUUGGGAUAUUGGGAUUAUACAGGGGAUGCUCUACAGGAUUCAAAUACAGUCUUUAAAUACAGAGCCAAUCAGGAUGGCUGUUUAGGCUAAACCAUCAUAUACUAAGCUAUAUGGACAGUUGGCACCACUGGUUAAUUCUUAUCCUGACUCCGUCAGUAGUUCCUGUGCUAACAUUAGUUCUAGUUAACCAGGUGAAAGGAGCAGAUUGCUUAAUUUCAUGUUUAUUAAAUGGGCGACUUGACCUGUACCUUCUACCUGAUAAGCCUGGUAAACAUAAUAGGUUAAACAUUGCAAAAGGACCUUGUCAAAAUGAUAUUGGACUAAGAUUCUGCAAGACUAUAGGGCAGUGGUAGGCAACCUUUUAGCAGCACUGUACCGAAAUAAGAUUGUGAUGUCCCGUAGCGUGCUGGUCCUAUUUAAAAAAAAAUUUGAGGUGUGUAUGUUACCGUAUUCUGCUUGUGUUAUUUCUACUGCAGUUGCUUUGUAUCGUUGUGUUUGUGCGUAUAUGAGCUAUUAUAUUUUAUAUGUUCAUGAGUAGUUUGUGGUAUUGUGUAUGAUACCUAUGAAUGUGGGCUGGGUAUGGGGGCUGCUUGUGGAAUUGUGUGUGGAUGGAUAUGUCACAUUGUGUGUUUGGUAGUGUGUGUAUGUGUGGGGCUGUUGGGGUAUUGCAUGUGAGAGCCUGUAUGUGGGGUUGUGUGCAUGUAUGUGAAUUGUUGGUGGUGUUGUGUUUGUGCGGACUGUGUGUGUGUUCGUAUUAUUUGUGUGAGGGGAGAGUUAUUCUGCAGCUCUGUGUAUAUCUAGCAGUGUGGGUGGCUUCCCCUAGGGUCCAGUGGGGACCAGGCUGACCAGGUACAGGUCAAGGACAGGAGCUGCAAUAGCAGCUGCGGGCUGCUCUACUCCAGUGCGGAUUCCUAUUCACAAGUGCUGGAUUGAAGUGAUCUGAGAUCACUUCCUCUAUGUGCUGCAAUGCAUAAAUUGAGGAUUGCCCCUCACCACCUUUUCGUAUUAGCAGAUAUCUGAAGUUUCACUGAGACUCCUGAUAGGCCAGAGCCUGUUUGGCUCCAGCAGUCUUGAGUGCCGUGCAAAGACACCUCGAGUGCAGUGCAUGGCACUAGUGCCGUAGGUUGCCUACCCCUGCUAUAGGGUGUAUCCUCGCUACAACCAUCGUUCAUGGCACCAGAAAUAUGUUUUAGCUGCAUUCAUUUAAUAGACACAUUUAGUAAAACAAAUAUAUACUUUGACCCAGCUCACAGACAUUGUGAAGUCCCACUAUGUCCCCACUCCUCUUUGUUAGUUAAAAUGCAAAGGAUAAUUGUAACAAAUGAAUUAUAAUUUUACUCUGGUUUCUGGAUGAAGUGUUGGUCACUAAUGUAGCUACACAGGACCUCGGGAAACUAAUAAUCAGAGAUUGCAAGUGACAUUAUAACCUACAUUUUGUACACCUGUGGGUUUUGUUUUUCACCGGUUUUAAUUAUGUAAUAAAUAACUUUUUUUUUUUAUUAUUUAAAAAUAGAAUCUGCCUUGUGGUGUUGAGUGACUCUUUUUUUCUCUCUCUCUAUGUUUAACCCAUUAAGGACAGCGAUUUGGCAAGUCUCACAAAAUAUUGAUCCUUACUACUUUAAACAGACAUUUGGCAGCACUCUGGGUAACAAAAGAAAAAUAAGGUUGAGGAUGUUAGGAUCAGCUCUUAAACAGAUAAGUAAUUAACCCCUUAAUGACCAAACUUCUGGAAUAAAAGGGAUUCGUGACAUGUCACACAUGUCAUGUGUCCUUAGGGGGUUAAACACACAGGUUACCUUUAUCGCAGUACAGAUCUAAAAUGAAACACAGGCUAGCAGGAAAGACAGGUUUCAGGAAUCUUGCUAGAGACCAUCAAACAUAUCAUUCCAGAUGAAAAUGUACAUUAUAAUAAUUAACUAAAGGCAGCUAUUAAUUGUUUAUUUAUUCAAACAGUAAUUAAUUUAUUUUAUUCAGCCUUUGUCGGCAUAUCCUGGCACAUAAUUCUAUUUCACUAUACCCCAUGAUUCUUCCAUUGAUCUUGCUCUACUCCUCCAUUUUAUUAUUGCUUGAUCCCAGGUUCCUACCAGAAUCCUUCUUCUUGUCACUAGUUAAGAAUAUCAUGUUGUUCCUUGUACACUUUGUUCCAGCAGUACCUACACAGAUUACGAUUAGUUAGUAGUAGUUUGUGGCUGAUGGAUACAUUUCCUUUUUAGAUUAAUCAUACAAUGAGGAAGUACAGAAAGUGGACACAACAAAGAACUACAUUGCAAUUAAAAGAAAUCAGUUGUAGCAGUAAGUGAUACUAGGUUGAUUGUCAUUUAGAGGUAUUAUUAUUAUUAUUAUUAUUAUUAUUAUUAUUAUUAUUAUUAUGUUAUUAUUUAUAUAGCGCCAACAAAUUCCACAGCUCUUUACAGUGGGUGGACAAACAGACAUGUCGUUGUAACCAGACAAGUUGGACACGCAGGAACAGAGGGGUUGAGGGACCUGCUCAGUGAGUUUACAUGCUAGAGGGAGUGGGUUAAAGUGACACAAAAAAGGUAAGGAUAGUAUUAGACUAAUGACAGUUGCAGAAGAGGAAUCAGUCGGGAGCUAUUAACAGUUUAAUUGAUACGCUUUUAUGAAGAAGUGGGUUUUUAUAUAUAACCAUCAGAGUAGCAGCCCCAAAAUGUCUGGGGGCAGGACACCCUCUUUGUAAGUAACUCUGGUGCCCCCUUAGACUGCAAAACGUCAAACCCCAAAGCAUGGUUCACAGUCACUGGGAGAUUGUAGACAGAUUUGUAUUGCCAGUGAAGCAUAUUUUUUUUUCUGCUUGUGUGUAUAAGGAUUUGGGUUUAUAUUUUGAAAUAUUUAAAAUUUUUGAACAAAAAAGAGGGUUGUAAGGUUAUCAUAGACUGUAAAAACAACCUAACCUUACCUACCGUUUGAAUGUGUAUAGUUAAGCAAUAGGCAAUUUCACACAAACAAAAUGCUAAGCAGAAACAGUUUUUAUUUUUUUUAAAAGCACAGAAAGUAUUAAAUGAAAUACUAUAUAUCACAGUUUUUCAUGUUUUUGCACUUACUUAAAACAAUGCCAUGUCCUUUAAAAUAUAUUUAGAGAUUUGUUUUGUUUUUAUCUUAAACAGUAAAGCAUAUACUUAUAUCAGCUAGGUUUAGCUAUCAUGACUAAGGAUAUCUAUAUUCUCCCAUGCAUCAAUAUCUGCCAUGAGUAAUGUUGUUAUCACACAUGAGGCCUUGUCUUCAUACAUGCCCAACCUUCGUACAUAGUUUGUUCAAAUUUUCAUUUUGUUUUCUCAUUACGCUUAUUUUUACCUGAUGACACCUCUUUUUCUGAACCUUCUUUAUUUCCUCAAAAAAAUGUAAAUAUGUAAAUAUCUCUUUAAAUAUGCACCAAAGUACUUUCCUAAUUAAUGCUGAUGGUGAAUUGAAAGACUAUCAGACCUAAUCCAAGAUUCUACUAACAUAAUGUUAUACAAAGAGCACUUACUAUCACGUUUCUACCACACUGUUGUUAAUGAACAGAAAUUAAACAAUGUCCUCAUUGGAUAACAGAGGUAAUGCAGAUAAAAUAGGGCCAGUAGGAGAGAGAGACCAGUAUAUCUGCAGAAGAGAUUGACUGCUAGCUCUAUAUUUAAAGGACCACUAUAGUGCGAGGAAAACAUACUCAUUUUCCUGGCACUAUAUUGCCCUGAGGGGCCCGGCUCUGGAAGGGGGAAAGGGGUAAAAACUUACCUUUUUCCAGCGCUGGGCGGGGAGCUCUCCUCCUCUGAUCCUCCUCCGUUCCUCCCCAUCGGCUGAAUGCGCAUGCGCGGCAAGAGCUGCGCGCGCAUUCAGCCGGUCGCAUAGGAAAGCAUUCAUAAUCCUUUCCUAUGGACGCUGGCGUGAGAAGCACGCAAGCGCCUCUAGCAGCUGUCAAUGAGACAGCCACUAGAGGCUUUGGGGGAAGGCUUAACCCAAUCAUAAACAUAGCAGUUUCUCUGAAACUGCUAUGUUUAUAAAAGAAUGGGUUAAUCCUAGCUAGACCUGGCACCCAGACCACUUCAUUAAGCUGAAGUGGUCUGGGUGCCUAGAGUGGUCCUUUAAGAUUGGUGGGGUCCUUCUGGAAGCUGAUACAUCAUGUACGUUCUUUCCUGGUUCCUUGUCGCAGUACUUACCCGAUCAACGUGCUGCUUGACCUUCCUGAGAGUGCAGUGCGUGUUGUUUGGGAAGUGCUGCCUCCUGGUUCUUUUCUGAAGCUGCCUAGUAGAAAGAGGGGCACUGCACACUCAUGGAGCCCCUUUACUUAUACAAACAUGACUCCUGUUUUGGCAUUGGCACGUCGUCUCUGCGACCCCAUUCCCACACUUUUUGGGACUGCAGGGCUAACGUGGACCCAUCAGUGUCCACCUCAUUGUUUUAUUCCCAUUGUCAUUGCCCUGUCAUGGUUUCCUCUUGGUUCCUUGUAAUAUUAUUAUUAUUGCCAUUUAUAUAGUGCCAACAGAUUCCGUAGCGCUUUAUAAUAUAUCGUAUAGUGUUAUAUGUUCCAUGGUUUUUUGGUUUUAUAAUUUUGGUUUGUUUACUAAUUCUUCUGACUUCUGUAAUCAUGACUUGGCUAGUUAUAUCCUAUUCCCAUAUUUCUAGUAACCUUAUUUUGGCUAAUUUUAAAUUAACACUUUCUCUCUUUUUUACGUUAAACCCAGCCAAUACGCUCUUUCUCUCUUCAUUUUCCUGACCUAUACUUACAAGUUGGGUAGUGUAGCCACGACACAUCUUCAUGAAACGUUUCUUAAGCCUCUAAAGCUUGCGCCUGAUACUGUGUAUGUGAGCCUCCUACGUUAGGGGGUUAAAGUAGACAUAACGGAGUUUAAUCAUUCACUGUAAAAAGUCCAGUGAGUACUGCACAAAAGUUAAAAGCACUUUGGAGCCCGUGGAGGGUGGUCCUCCAACCACGAGGAAUAGAAUAAAAGUUGAAGUAUAGGCAUCACAAUAUAGGGUGAAUGUAGAGGUAUUUUAUUGAAGGCUUGAUUAAGGCUUAAAGGCCGAAACAUUGUAUCUUUUUUGUCCUUUGAUUUUCAAUUAAAUACCUAUUCCGUCACCCUACUUUGUGACGCGUGUGGAUUUCAUCUUUUAUAAUCAUUCACUAUUUAUUCAGAAUCAAAGCAUAAGUUCCGUCGUCCUAGGGCUUCCCUGAUACCUUGAUUCUCCAAUGUGUGGGAAAUCUACACUACGUUCUACUGCAUCAUUCCCAGAACCCCCGGAAACUAAAACAUCAUAGUGACAAUGCCCAAAUGAAAACUGCUUGUAUCCAUUGACAGUGCAUGGAACCCAGACUCCUGAGUAAAAGAGAAAAACAUGGACUGAUGAGUCUUGUGUCACCCUAUUUUCUUUUGUAAUUAUUUAUAUAGCACAUAGAUUAGAAACAGCAUAUGUAAACACAUUCAAUACAAAAAGCAAGAAAACAGAACUUUACCAGAAUGGCAGAUUUAAUUGAUUAAAAGACAAGUAACAAAACAGGCGUUUUAUAAAGCUAUAGGAGAAAGAUGAUUGAAACGAAAGAAAAAGAAUAGAUAGAGGUGAGGGACUAGGGCCAUUAUACAAAAUGUAUACCAUCCAUAACAACAUUCCGAAAAACAUUCCACCUGAAGUGGGUGGCUCUUAUUUGGUUCUUUAAAUUUAAAAUAAUGCUGGGAGUUCUCCCCUGCAGGGCCGGUGCUAUCCAAGCGCUGGCCCUGUUAUGUGCCUUCACGGACCAGAGGGGAGAUCAGAGACCUCCUUCACCAGUCCACAAGCACUUUUUGGGCAGCCAGCAGGGGAGGUAGAGAGGACCCGAGAGCUCAGCCUACAGCUCCUCCGGGUUCUCCUCUCGCGAGCAUGGAGCGUUGAUGUGGUUACCAUGGCAAUGCUCUGGAUCUCGCAAGAACAAACUCUAGCCCAGAAGCUGCUAGAGUUCACUCUCACCACUUGAACCACCAGAGCUUCACCACUGGACCACCAGGAAUUGAGACCGCCCCCUCCCAGGCAAAGGUUAGAAGGGAGGGGGCACGUAAAGAUUAUUUGUUUUAAUUAAAAACACUGCCCCUCCACACAUUGCCCGCCCACACACUGUACUCCUCACACACACACUGUACCCCUCACACACAAACUGCACUCCUCAGACACUGCACUCCUCACACUCUGCACCCCUAACAUACAAAAACUGCACCCCUCACAAACACACCCACACACUGCACCAGUGGUGUAUCCUGGUUUUGUGCUGCCCUAGGCAGGACAAAAGUCAGGCGCCCCCUCCCCCCGUGCCACCCCCACCCAACCCUUCCCCCCGCCCCACCUUCUAAAUACACACACACACACAUUCACUGACAGAUACGCAUACACUAGCUAACAGAAACACUCACUCACUAACAGGCACACACACUAACAGACACACACACACACACACACUAACAGACACAUGCACACACUGACACACACACACACUAACAGACACACACACACUAACAUAUAGACACACACACACACUAACAGACACACACUAACAGACACACACUAACAGACACACACACACACNNNNNNNNNNNNNNNNNNNNNNNNNNNNNNNNNNNNNNNNNNNNNNNNNNNNNNNNNNNNNNNNNNNNNNNNNNNNNNNNNNNNNNNNNNNNNNNNNNNNGAUCAUCUUUAAGCAGUAAUUACAGCUAAAAUCACUGUAGUAUUAUAAAGUAAACUAUUAACAUUGGGAGAAAGGCUUAAAGGACCACUCUAGGCACCCAGACCAGCUUAAUGAAGUGGUCUGGGUGCCAGGUCCAGCUAGGGUUAACCCAUUUUUGAUAAACAUAGCAGUUUCAGAGAAACUGCUAUGUUUAUGAAUGGGUUAAGCCUUCCCCUAUUUCCUCUAGUGGCUGUCUUAUUGACAGCCACUAGAGGCGCUUGCGUGCUUCUCACUGUGAUUUUCACAGUGAGAGCACGCCAGCGUCCAUAGGAAAGCAUUAUGAAUGCUUUCCUAUGUGAUUGGCUGAAUGCGCGCGCAGCUCUUGCUGCGCGUGCGCAUUCAGCCGACGGGGAGGAGAAGAGGAGGAUCGGAGGAGGAGAGCUCCCCGCCCAGCGCUGGAAAAAGGUAAGUUUUUACCCCUUUCCCCUUUCCAGAGCCGGCGGGAGGGGGACCCUGAGAGUGGGGGCACCAGGGUACUAUAGUGCCAGGAAAACGAGUAUGUUUUCCUGAGACUAUAGUGGUCCUUAGCGACCAAUACAGAAUACCCAGACCGCUAUCAGCUCAAUGAAGUUGUCUGGGUACGCCCUCUAGUUUUAACUUUGUGUAAAGGAAAAUAUAGCAGUUUCAGAGAACUGCUAUGUUUCACUGAGGGUUAAUCCAGCCUCUAGUGGCUGUCUCACUGACAGCCGCUAGAGGAGCACACUGAACGUCCAUAGGAAAGCAUUGAGUAAUGCUUUCCUAUGGGCGGUUUGAAUGCGUGCGUGGUCACAUUCGGAGCUGAGAGGCUGAGGGAUCCUCAGCGCCAAGGGAGUCCGGCGCUGGAGAAAGGUAAGUGCUGAAGACACACACACUUACAGACGCAUACACACUAGCUAACAGACACACACAUUUACUGACAGAGACACAGUCAGCGACAGACAUACAUACACACUUACAAAACAUACACUCUCAUUGACAAACACACACUCACUAACAGACAUCAAACAGACUCACUAACACACACACUCAGUAAGACACACACAGUAACACACACACUAACACUCACUCUAAC